AAAACAUGUCUUUUCGUAUAUUUUUGAAAAGUCUGACCUGCCCAGUGAAUAAAUUCAACGGCCGCGGUAUAUUGACCGUGCAAAGGUAGCAUAAUCAUUAGUCUUUUAAUAGAAGUCUGGAAUGAAAGGUUUAACGAAAUACAAUCUGUCUUUAAGAUAUAUUUUAUAAUUUAGCUUUUAAGUUAAAAGGCUUAAAUUUUGUUGUUGGACGAGAAGACCCUAUAGAGUUUUAUAAAAUAAAUAUCAUUUAUUAUAUUGAUUUAAUAUUUAUAUUGGUUUUGGUUUUAUUUGGUUGGGGUGAUUAUAAAUAUAUAAUUAACUUUUAUAAUUAAUAGCCAUUGAUUUAUGAUUGUUGGAUCCAUUAUUAUUGAUUAUUAGAUUGAAUUACCUUAGGGAUAACAGCGUAAUCUUCUUUCAGAGUUCAUAUUUACGAGAAGGAUUGCGACCUCGAUGUUGGAUUAAGAUAAUUAUUAGGUGUAGAAGCUUAAUUAAUAGGUCUGUUC
rnacentral:rRNA from 1 species